rnacentral:rRNA from 1 species
GACGAACGCUGGCGGCGUGCUUAACACAUGCAAGUCGAACGGUGAAGGGAAGCUUGCUUCCCGGAUCAGUGGCGAACGGGUGAGUAACACGUGGGCAAUCUGCCCCAGACUUUGGGAUAACUACUCGAAAGAGUAGCUAAUACCGAAUAUUCAGCCUUGCAGGCAUCUGCGAGGCUGGAAAGUUUCUCGGUCUGGGAUGAGCCCGCGGCCUAUCAGCUAGUUGGUGAGGUAAUGGCUCACCAAGGCGACGACGGGUAGCCGGCCUGAGAGGGCGACCGGGCCACACUGGGACUGAGACACGGCCCAGACUCCUACGGGAGGCAGCAGUGGGGAAUAUUGCGCAAUGGGCGAAAGCCUGACGCAGCAACGCCGCGUGCGGGAUGAA